AGAGUCUUAUCAUCAAAAUGGCCAAGGAAUAAGAUGGAGUAGCCCAGAAAAAUUUGGAGAGAAACUGGGGGAAUGUGGCCUCACCAGAUCCUGGCCGUGCAGACCCCAACACUGAGGCUCGAAUGAACGAAGUGGCAUGUUAGAUUACACAGCUAGUAAAUGGUUCAACCCAGAUUGGAUGCAGCUCUCUCUGACCUCCAAGUUCAUGUUACUCUCAAGACCAUUCAUGAAGACCAAGCAGUUAUU